rnacentral:rRNA from 1 species
CAGCAGCCGCGGUAAUACGAAGGGGGCUAGCGUUGCUCGGAAUGACUGGGCGUAAAGGGCGCGUAGGCGGCAUAUACAGUCAGGCGUGAAAUUCCCGGGCUUAACCUGGGGGCUGCGUUUGAUACGUAUGGGCUAGAGUGGGGAAGAGGGUCGUGGAAUUCCCAGUGUAGAGGUGAAAUUCGUAGAUAUUGGGAAGAACACCAGUGGCGAAGGCGGCUUACUGGCUCAUUCUAGACGCUGAGGUGCGAAAGCGUGGGGAGCAAACAGGAUUAGAUACCCCUGUAGUCCCUGUCUCUUAUAC